ensembl:processed_transcript C030005K06Rik RIKEN cDNA C030005K06 gene
AGAGAAAUCUGAAAAGCAGCCUUGGUGGGCUGGCUUGGCUAGGUCUGGUGCUGGGUCCUUUGCUCCUUAACUGCCUGGCUGGUGGGACAGGGCUGCCUACUCUCUAAAGUCCAGCCAGGCAGAGACAAAGUUCCCCACCGCUUUCUGCGAGCUCCCAUCAGCUCCUGCUCCCGCCUUCCUCCACAUUCCUGCGCUGAACUUGGCGGAGUCCAGCGGCUGGCGUACCUUCCCUGGGCUCCUCCGCUUCGGAGAGCAUGCUGUCGGGGUGCACAGCCACAGGCGCCACCGCCACGGACAUGGACGUGAGGCUGCGAGGCUCCUAGACGAGGCCUUGUUUUAGCAUCAACCCUAGAGUGAGGGGCUCCAAGUAAAAUACCUGAAAGGAAAACAUCCAAUGGAAAGAAAUCUCUGGCUGGAGAGUGUUACAUUCUCCUAUAACUGAGAAAGGACCUUAAGAAAAAAAAAAACUCAAAUAUCCAUCUACUUAUCUAUAAAAUGAAGACAAAAGCAGUAUGUGAUUCACAGAUUUGUCUGGUUAUUACAGAUGGCACUAUAAACACAGUGAUUUGAAACUGUAAGUUCUACACACAGGUUGUCACUAACUAUUGCACCUUAUUACAAUAAACUUUGUAAAGGAUACUCUUGCCUUUUCUUUGCCAAUCAGUUUGCCAUCAGUAUCGAAGCUAUUCACCGGCAAGGGGGAUGCCAUAGAUAGAGCUCUCUGGUCUGAUAUUAAAUCAGUCGCUACUGCUGAGUGAUUCUAACAUACUUGAGACCCUACCAGAAUUUUAUCUCAAAUUUAUUGAAAGGGCAAGGUGAACCAAGACAUAAUAGCCAGAGGGAAGAAAGAAACAUCUGGAAAAGAUCAGUGCUGUAGAGCCUACGGGAACUGAGCAUGGCCGGAAAAGAAUAACCGGCUAUACCCUUCUGAAAAUGACGGUUAACCUUGCUCUCCUGUGCCCUACAUCCUAGUGCUGCUGAGAUAGACAAUCUAUGCUCAGUACUCUUUGUAUUCAUGGCGGACACAAAGGAUGCCGAUGCUUCUGAAACAAAAGACACGCCCCCUUGCCGUCUGUCUUUGCCUGUCCUUCUGAGCAAUCGUUCUGCCCCUCCCUACCCGACAGCAUCCGGCUUUGCCUUCCCUCUUCCGCUGGCCAGAUGUCCACAGAUGUCCACCUGGGCCUCGGAGGAACCUCGCCACAGCUGUUUGCUACACAAAUGAGACGCCUUCGGGGGAUCUAGAGCUGGAGUGAAGACGCAGCACCUUUUGAAGGCCAGACUGGUUUGGGCUGUUGAGGAAUGUCUUUUUGGAACCCUACAUGCUGACCCAGAUUGAUAUGGCAAAGCUGUAGAUAGCAAACAUACCAGGACUGGAGUCCUUCCUAUGCCCAGCCUAAGAGAGACCCCCUCGCACUGGCUGGCUGACCGUAGCUGCAUGCAAUCUGAGCUUAUGCAACUUCCCAGCGCUGAUAGCCGGCGCACAUCUGUGAUUGAUUACUGUGAAGCGUUCAGAAGCCAGGGGCUCUGCCUGGGAUCCCCAGUGAUCACCAUCUCUCUCUACCUUGUGUUCACUUCGAGGGGCCACAGAACUACGCCAAGACAGGCUGAAUUUUGGACAAGAACAGAACCUACGAGGUUUUGACCGUGUGCCAGGUGGUCACAGUUUAAGAGACAGAAGAGGCUCGUGGAGAAACUCCGGGAGGGAUGGCCAAGCCGACACUGGACAGACAAACUCAGCAGGCGGUAAAAUGUGAACUGAUGCAGAACUUAUCCAAACAGGGUUCAGGUCAAGAGGACAGGCUCCUUUUCUGCUGUGGCUCAGGAGGUUUUCCACUUGAAUAGGUCAGGUUCGGAAACCGGUUUAUUUGGCCAAUCCCUAGAGAGGGGCUAUAGAGAUAUGUGUCAGUUACCCCUCAGAGGAUGGGGUGCACGUUCUGACAACCCCCCUCACCUGAGCCGUGUACAGAGUACAGAAUGUGAUAUUAAACCCAUGAACUUUGUAGGGAAAAAAAAAGGUAAAAAAAUCAUUAACUUUCUCAAUUUAAACUCUAUUUCCACUGAUUUUUUAUUUUUUUAACU